GACGAACGCUGGCGGCGUGCUUAACACAUGCAAGUCGAACGGAAAGGCCCUGCUUUUGUGGGGUGCUCGAGUGGCGAACGGGUGAGUAACACGUGAGUAACCUGCCCUUGACUUUGGGAUAACUUCAGGAAACUGGGGCUAAUACCGGAAAGGAGCUCCUGCUGCAUGGUGGGGGUUGGAAAGUUUCGGCGGUUGGGGAUGGACUCGCGGCUUAUCAGCUUGUUGGAGGGGUAGUGGCUUACCAAGGCUUUGACGGGUAGCCGGCCUGAGAGGGUGACCGGCCACAUUGGGACUGAGAUACGGCCCAGACUCCUACGGGAGGCAGCAGUGGGGAAUAUUGCACAAUGGGCGGAAGCCUGAUGCAGCAACGCCGCGUGCGGGAUGACGGCCUUCGGGUUGUAAACCGCUUUCGCCUGUGACGAAGCGUGAGUGACGGUAAUGGGUAAAGAAGCACCGGCUAACUACGUG
rnacentral:rRNA from 1 species